CAACAAGAACAGACAUUCGCUGCUCUUCCGUUGCCCAUGACACCGGAGCGAAGUUCUGACAGCUGAUUUCCAAACCGGUUUCCGACACUUUCAGAACCCCAGGUCCCGGUUUUUGGCUCUUUUCCUAUUUGGAGGCGUUUGCUGCUUCCCAGCUGCGGUGUUCCUGACGGCGGGUUUACCGGGAUACAGCGGCUGAUUAUGGUGUAGCACGGAACGUUAGCUCGGAGAGACGGAAGACAUCUAAGCAGCGGACGCAGAGUGGUGUAGAGCAGACGGAGCAGCUUAGCCAUGCUUACACUGGCCAGCAAGUUGAAGAAGGACGAUGGAGGAAAGACGGGCCGUGCCUCCGGAGCCUCUGACUCCACCCACAGGGUCUCCAUCAGAGACCGCCUCCUCACCAAAGAAGUUGCAGAACUUGAAGCCAAUCUCCCUAGUACAUGCAAAGCCAGUUUCCCAGAUGAGAAUAAGUUGCAUCACUUUCAGCUUGCAGUGUCUCCUGAUGAAGGUUACUACCAAAGUGGAAGGUUUCAGUUUGAAAUAGAUGUCCCUGAAGCCUAUAACAUGGUGCCUCCUAAAGUCAGAUGUCUGACCAGAAUAUGGCAUCCGAAUAUCACAGAAAAUGGAGAGAUCUGUUUGAGCUUAUUGAGAGAACAUUCAAUUGACGGCACAGGUUGGGCACCAACUAGAACGUUAAAGAGUUUAUUGAGCUCAAGAGGAAUUGUGAUGACUACCAUUAUCAGGAUAGAGAAGAGGAAAGUGAGGAAAAUGAUGUGGUCUGGGGAUUGAACUCCUUGUUUACUGACCUGCUGAACUUUGACGACCCACUGAACAUCGAUGCAGCAGAACAUCAUCUGAGAGACAAGGAGGAUUUUCGAAGUAAGGUUCAAGAUUACAUCAAGCACUACGCCAGAUGAUARAUGCAUCGGCUUCCCCCAGCAGCCGUGCGACAAACAACCAAACUGCUCUACCUUGCCUCUGCUUAUCUGGCCGACUCCUCCACGUGUGAAACAGCAGCAGACUCUUUGACUCUUACUACUCCCCUCCACCUCUAUAUGACACGGCAACCCCCGCAAUAAACUUCACACUGCAGAAAUAAUAAAAAAAAGAAAAAAAUAGUAAAAAAAACGAAACAGAAUUAUGACUGCUUCAAAGGAAGGACUUGCAAACGAAAUAUAUGCUUUAAUUAUGCUAAUAAGUUGAUUGUUACAGCAGCAACAAUGUCUGAGUCGGCGCCUCGCUAAGGUGAACACGAGCCUGUUGGGWACGAGCCGUGGCAGGAAAAACACAACAUGGAGUYUCACAUGACGUUUCACCGAAAAAGACCAGAAGUCACACUUGGCUGUUUUUAAAUACAAGCUGAGAAAAGAACAAAUAUCUGUUACUAUCAGCUCUCUGUUUCAGUGCCUGCAUUGUUUGUGUUGUUUAUGAGAAAGUGCAUGGGAGUCCACAAAUGUUCACACAUGCAAAAAAAAAMCAACAACAACAAAACAACAAAAAAGAGGGUGAGCACACACACUCACACGCGAAGGUUSCUCAUUAGACAGCAUGUGAAUGAUCACGUUUUGUUUCCGUUCUCAGAGCAUGUUUGCGUUGUCCUGUGCUCAGCAUUUAAAUCACCUCUAAUCUCUUUAUACGUUGCUUCCAAGUUCUCCAGGUCUUUUUCUUUUGACUUUGUUGACUUUAUUACCAUAGUUUUUAAUAAUUUACAGAAAUUGGGGGCGGUUUAAAAUCUUUGCACAGUUCUCCAGCAGGUUACACACACAAAACAUCUCAUAGAGAUCAUUUGAGUGUUUUCAGCUCCAGAUACAUAAAAUACUGCCAUGAAAAACAAAAAGCCACAUGUAUCGUUUUUUUGUUUUUUUUUAUUCACCCCCUUCUUCAUCUGUGCUCUUCACACCUUCGUAUCUCGAUCACGGUGUGUAUGAGGAGCUUAUUGCAAACUAACAGUGCAAUCCAAAAGUGCUUUGACAUCUCACUGGCAAAGUUGGYUUUGUACUUAAAUACUAUCAAGUUUUAAGUGAAAUCAUGAGGACUUUAAAUGACUGGUUCAGAUUUAAUUUUUGCACCCAUGAGAAAUAAAUGGUGAUGGACUUUUA